rnacentral:rRNA from 1 species
CAAGCGUUAAUCGGAAUUACUGGGCGUAAAGCGCACGCAGGCGGUCUGUGAAGUCAGAUGUGAAAUCCCCGGGCUCAAGCUGGGAACUGCAUUUGAGACUCGU